AUGAGGACACAGAAGGUCACAGCACCUCUGAUCUUUGCCAUCUCCAUUGCUACAAUAGGCUCUUUCCAGUUUGGCUACAACACCGGAGUCAUCAAUGCUCCUGAGAUGAUCAUAAAGGACUUUCUCAAUUACACCCAGGAGGAGACGUUGAAUGACCGUCCCACUGAGGUGUUACUCACUUCCCUCUGGUCCUUGUCUGUGGCCAUCUUCUCCGUUGGUGGUAUGAUUGGCUCCUUCUCCGUUGGACUCUUUGUCAACCGCUUUGGCAGGCGCAAUUCAAUGCUCAUUGUCAACCUCUUGGCUGUCGCUGGUGGCUGCCUUAUGGGGUUCUGCAAAAUAGCCUGGUCGGUUGGAAUGCUGAUCCUGGGCCGGUUGGUUAUUGGCCUCUUCUGCGGCCUCUGCACAGGUUUUGUGCCCAUGUACACUGGCGAAGUCUCUCCCACUGCCCUACGGGGGGCCUUUGGCACUCUCAACCAGCUGGGCAUCGUCAUCAGGAUCCUGGUGGCUCAGAUCUUUGGUCUGAAAGUCAUCAUGGGGACUGAAGAGCUUUGGUCCCUGCUUUUGGGCUUCACCAUCAUUCCAGCUGUCCUGCAAAGCGCAGCCCUUCCGUUUUGCCCCGAGAGUCCUAGAUUUUUGCUCAUCAACAGAAAGGAAGAGGAGAGUGCUAGGGAGAUCCUCCAGCGAUUGUGGGGCACCCAGGACGUGACUCAGGACAUCCAGGAGAUGAAAGAUGAGAGCACAAGGAUGGCACAAGAGAAGCAAGCCACGGUGCUGGAGCUCUUCAGGUCACGCAGCUACCAGCAGCCCAUUAUGAUUUCCAUCAUGCUCCAGCUGUCCCAGCAGCUGUCUGGAAUCAAUGCUGUGUUCUAUUAUUCAACAGGAAUCUUCAAAGAUGCAGGUGUUCAGGAGCAAAUCUAUGCCACCAUCGGCGAGGGUGUAGUUAAUACCAUCUUCACUGUUGUCUCUCUGUUUCUGGUAGAAAGGGCAGGGAGGAGGACUCUACAUAUGACUGGCCUUGGAGGGAUGGCUGUUUGUUCCAUCUCUAUGACCAUCUCAUUGUUACUAAAGGAUGACUAUAAUUGGAUGAGCUUUGUUUGUAUCGGGGCUAUCUUGGUCUUUGUGGCCUUCUUUGAAAUUGGCCCAGGCCCCAUUCCCUGGUUUAUCAUGGCCAAACUCUUCAGCCAAGGACCCCGCCCAGCCGCGAUGGCAGUGGCUGGUUGUUCCAACUGGACCUCCAACUUCCUGGUUGGGCUCCUCUUCCCUUCAGCUGCAUUCUAUUUAGGAGCCUAUGUUUUUAUCAUAUUCACUGGCUUCCUCAUUCUCUUCUUGGUCUUCACCUUCUUCAAAGUCCGAGACUCAUGGCAGGACUUUUGAGGAAAUCACAUGAGCCUUCGAGGGGCAGGCUCGGGAGGCUAACAGAGCUGAGAAAGGCCCCAUCGUGGAGAUGAACAGCAUCCAGCCCAUGAAGGAAACUGCCACCGUCUAAGCCAUGCCUCCUUCCCGCCUCCCUCCCAACAUGGAAAAGCAACCUCUCCCCAGAUGAGGAGGAGACCUCAUCAGCUUGUAACCCAGGACUGUUUCUGAAUGCUGCUACUUGAUUCCUUUCUCUUCCCACACACUCCAUGAGCACUCAGAGGAACCCAGUGCAGGAGUUAGUUGUAUCUUCAAUGGCUUUCGAAAAAUUUCAUUUCUUGGACAUUCUCUUCUAUUUAGGAGAGACCAAGCAAACCUACCUUCAUUUCAGGAGGAAUUGGCCACUUGCCAUCUGACAGCAUUGUCAUCUCUUCCUCCCUUGGGUUCUAAUAGGGCCUCACCAGGGCCAAUAGGGGAGGAGAGUAAGAGUGAGGUGCAGUUUCCCCGACCCCAGACUUCCCAGGAAGCAGAUCUAUAUGAGUGUGGAGGGCAGAGAGGGAUUAAAUAAGAGCACCAUCCUUGCUUCCAUACAGCUCUGCGGAGCAAAUUAACUUGAGUUUUAUUUAUUUUAUCUUCUGGUUUUAUUGCAUAAAUAUUUAUUUUUUUAAGUGUAAAAUAAUUUUACCAAAUAAUGAAAACAGAAGGAAAUUGAGGAUAGAGGGAGGCACUUGAAGAGAGGUUCUAGGGUAGAAGAUUUGAUACUGGAGAGGUCGAGGUGCAAUAAGGGGAAGAUUCAGGGAGAAGUAUAACGUGUUCUCAGAGGGUACAUGAUGGGGUGUGUGAACUUUGCACGUUGCCUCUUAACCUUCAGGUGGAAACUCUCAAGUUUAAUUUCUCAGAAAAGUGAUGUGCCUGUAUUAAGAAGCUACUGGUUACCUUUAGAACUUUUUUCUUUGUUUAAAAUUAUAUGUAGUGUUACUUGAAAUCUAGGGUUAUUAAGAUGGGCAUUAUAGCUAAUGGUGGUGGAUGGGUUCUAAUUUUGGUUGGAGUCCAGAGAAGGGAAGGUUAUUUCUAGAUAUCCUUUCUCCCCUCACUGGACAAAACAACUUCUUCCCCUUAUAGUGGACUCACUGUGGGGGGUGGGG